rnacentral:rRNA from 1 species
ACGUAUGGUGCAAGCGUUGUCCGGAAUUACUGGGCGUAAAGAGUUCGUAGGCGGUUAAAUCAGUCAGAAGUGAAAGGCUACGGCUCAACCGUAGUAAGCUUUUGAAACUGUUUAACUUGAGUAUUGGAGAGGAAAGUGGAAUUCCUAGUGUAGCGGUGAAAUGCGUAGAUAUUAGGAGGAACACCAGUGGCGAAGGCGACUUUCUGGACAAUUACUGACGCUGAGGAACGAAAGCGUGGGGAGCAAACAGG